AGGCUGGAAUGGGGUAAAAGAAGAAUUCUCUGAACUCUUCUGCUCUUUGGAAUGAGCAUCUUAACCUCACUGACAAUACUUUGAGACCCUGUCAGAUUAUCAAAGGAGGAAAUGACAAAGAGGUGACAUUUUAAAAAGCCUAAUUUAUUUUAACUUUUAUAUCUAUUUAGUUGUUUUUAGGAAGUAAAGCAUAAUAUUUCAAUAUUAUUGAAAUACAAGAGAGGAUCACCAUGAAUUGAGAUGUACCUGUUCAGAAAUCAUGCUUCCUGCCAUCCAACUGCUAAGAAGUCCUAUUUGAUGUCAGCAUAACUCUUUUACUCAUUCAUUCACUUACUCGUUUAUCAAAUACUUGAGCUUCUGCUUUGUGGAGGACCCAUGACUUGCUUAAAAUGAGGGGAAGCACAAAUCAUAGGAGAAAGCGUGAACCCCUAGGAAGUCCCAGAAGCAAGAGGUGAAGUGCAACAGCUACAGAAGGCUGGGAAACAGCCACCAACACACGGCCUGGCUUGUGAGUUUGUCCUGUGAACAAAUGUGGCACACACCCUAGGAGGAGAAGAGAUGGAGCCCCAAAUGACAGCAGAAUGUAAACAGCAACUCAAAGCUACCCCCAAAAGAAUAUCAUUCAAGUGUUCACUCGGAGCUUUUACCUACAGAAACUGACAUCUUAGCAGCUUAAUAUUCUACAAUGAAGGACAGUUAUACUUUAUAUGCAUAUCUGUCAGGAACAUAAGCCUGAAUUGUUUUCUCUUUUCUCCUGAGAGUUCCAUAUUUUUAACAAGUUCCUCUUUCCAUCUAUAGUUGAUGCCCUGAUUUUCUGCCAUGCUCGAUGCAUUCUUUCAUUAUUUCCAGGACAGUUCCUCCGAAGUAACGCCCUAUCACCACGCCACCUCAUCAUUACCUUGCACAUGGGUAGAAUUCCCUGACAGAGAAAUGUGUAAUUGCACCUUGGUUUUUCAAUGGAAACAUUAAUUGAAUUGAAAAAGAGAAGAGUUAAUCUGACUUAUUAUAGUUACCCCAAACCCUGGCAACUUUCACAGAAAUGAAAUACAUGGGGAAGAAAAAAAUUAUUCUGACUCCAAAGUGCCAAAACAUCAAGAUGAAACAUAAAACAUGAAAAAUGCAGUCCACUGUCCAGAUAUUUUGUCUUUUAAAUGGCAUGCAUGUUGUAUUUGCUAAUUUAGCUGCCUUAAAACAUACAUUAAAAUCUACCUAGAAUACGACAGUGACAUAAAUGUAUUAAUUGUAUGUAACAUUUGUGGAGGUCUUCGUAUUUUCUGAUGUUUUUCACAUGCCAUAUUUGACUAAUAAUCAGUGAGGUAUGAACAUCAAUUCCAUUUUACAGAAGUGGUAAUUGAGGGCCAAGAUGUGAAGGGACCUGCCUCAACUCAAUUGGCAGGAAGUCCAGGCAGGGGAUGAGAUUUCAGUCCAAGUAAGUCACAGGUUCCUGUGAUAAUAUGGUUGUUAUACCAUAUUAUCUUUUUAUUUGACAAAAUUGCACUAAGACUGCCAUUAGCUCCCUGUGUGAGUGUGAUCAAAGAAACUAAGCUAUAUAAGCUACAGCCUUUGAUUUUUAAUUGUUGUUAUUUGUAGAGUCUUUUGUUGAGAGUCUCAACUCAUCCUAUAAGCUCUCUGCUACCUCUGCCCCCAAAAUGUUGAAACCUGGGCUAAGAUUAUUUUAGUUGUUACCUGAUGCUUCCCUCGCCCAAGAACUUAAAUAAUAUGGCAUAUUUAAAGUAUUUGAAUAUCAAAAGGUUCAGCAAAGCCAAGUGUCUCAUAUAGUAUUAGGCAGAUCUACCCUGGGCAUUGGGUGUAAUAAUUUAUCAUUAUGGGCAGAUGCAUAAUUAGUAUCAUUUCUAAUGACACAGAGAUACAAAUUUCAUGUUUGAUGCGAUCCUGCCAAAUAAUUUAACAUGGUGCAGUUAAAAAAUGACAUGGAUCAUGUAUUUGGUUAGCGGUCUGUGAGGGAAAUGAGAGUAAAUCUGAUUUCAGCCCCAUCAAGAUGGGGCAUCCCCUGCAUCCAGCAGCCUCAUAUGAGAAUGUUUAUUUAAAAGGGUGGGGGUGGGGUGGGGUGUAUAUGUGAGACUGUGGUAUGCUUAACUGCUUUCCACAUCUAGAAUAAAUAUUUACCUAGAGAAAAAUCUUCAAGACAUUAAGGAAGACAACAGUUCUCUCUCUUAAGACAGAGAAACACAUAAAAUCACAGGCAUUUGUGGGCUGUCAGAGUCCCAUGUGAUAAACACUGGCACUUUCAUGCACAUUUUUGCAUCUCUGCUGGUACCCUCUGCACUAACAUCCUGCAGGUCCUCUUCCCUCCCCUUUACAAACUUAGACAAACAAUAUGACCAUCUUAACUUUAAAAAAGGGGGCAAACCAGGUCCAGGGAAGAUGCAGUGUAGGGUUUUUUUUUUUUUUUCUCAAUCUUUUCUUCUGUUCCCUAAUCCUGGACCUCACUUUCUCCACUGAGAGGCCCAGGAGGUCACGGUUAGUAAAGAUAUGAAAUUAAAUGAAUGACAAUCCUGUGUAAAUGGAGAUAUUUUCCAAGGAAAGUUGCUGUUUUGCUUGUUGAGUCACUGAUUAAUUCAACAAACAUUUGUCAAAUGAUUAUCUAUCAGUGGCUAUGCUAAGCACUGGUGUGCCAACUUCCACUGACCACCCCUAAAUUGAAUAAACAAAUCAUAGCCUAGUGGGACAAUGGACACAUAAGUGACACAAUUAAGAUACAGUAUGAUGAGGGAGGUGCUAUGCAUCAUUAAACCAAAAGGGAGGAAAAUUAACACAGACAAAAGAGAGUAAGCUGAGGUUUCUUGGAGGAGAGAAACACAUAGACUCAUAAUGUGGGGCUUCUACCUGCCAGGGCUUCUGCUUGAAGCUCAUCUUCCAUCAUCCUGGGGCUUCCCAGUGGGGGACUCGCAUUUGUCACUUCUCUUUUCUUGUUUUACCCUCAGCCGUGGUGCUGCAUCCUCUCUGGCUUCUGCUCACUGAGGGGCAAAGCCCAUGAGCUGUCACUGCUAAAGUCUGCAGGGGAAGCUGUGGUUGUAAUUCAUAUGCUAGUGCUGUUGGACUGACUGAAGCCACCGUCUCUGGGCUAGACCUAGCACAGGCCUCGGCACUGAAUAAAGGCUGCUGAAAUGAAUUGGAUUGCUGCUCAUCCCUUUUAUCCCCUGCUUGAGCCUGCUGCAACAUUAAUUUUGAAUGAUGGCUUUCCCCACUGUUCCUGCUGCCAUCUACGGCAUAUGCCACCAAUCAGAGAAGAUGUAUGCUCUCACUUUCUCUCAGGGGAAAUAGCUCUGAAAGUUUUUUGGUUAGCUGAUCCCUCUCUUCAGAAUGCAGGGGCAUCUGGGCAGUGGAUUCUUCUCCUGCUCUAGUCAGGAGAAAAAUAAAUAAAAGCCUCACUUCUGACCCCAAAGUAUUGGCUUUGGACAAAAUUUUUGUGGCUCGAUGCUCCCUUUCCAAGAAUAAAAUCUUUUUCAAGACUAUAUCUAGUCUGUCAUGCAAAUAGAAUUCAAAUGGCUUAGCAAAGCCAGCCCUCCAGAUCCCUGCAGACACAUGGAAUUCUCCAGAGAAUCCACUUUAAAAUCAAAGAAGUGUAAAAAGUAAAAGUAGGGGAAAAACUACAGAAAGGCGGGGCACAAAAAACGAUUGCAUGGAGAGCAGAGGACUUAUUAUCCCUACCUAAUGUCAUUCUCCUGCACCUCAACAUUACAGAUUCUCCGAUUCAACUCCUAAAAGAAUCUUUUCUUUGUCCAAAGGGAGUAGGUACUGGCUGAAAUUUCUGAAGGAAACUCAUUGGUUUUGGGUCUUUUCCCCACUUGGGUCACUAUGAAAACUAACUGAUGUGACGCUGCCUUUAAGUAGAUGAACAAAAAUAAGAGUUUGGGAUUGGUCCCCUGCAGAGUGGUGAGAAAGAAUAAGAAUGGUUAGCUAAGGUGAUUGUCCUACAGGAGGUUUAAUAUAUUUCUUUUUUAACUAGGGAAAAUCUGGUCCCAGAUGAAACUCCAGAAUACCAUAACAUUUAGAAUAGCCUAAUAUAUAGCAAUGACUUUUAAAUUUGGUGAUAGAAGAUGACUUGUAAUUAAAUAUCAGUGACUGCUUUUACAUAAAAUAUUUGCAUACUUUUUUCCUGAUGGUUUCUUUUUGCAAAUAUCUAGAACCCUUGGCUUGAAUGAUGACUUUCAUGUUAGAAUUGAUAUCUUUGGGGUUUCUCUGAAUAUAACUGGGCACAUUUUAGACGUACAACACUUAUUUGUUAAAUUACAUUGAAUAACAUUUGAAAUUAUAUCGUUUACUUGGCUUAAACCCUUGGACUUUCAAGGAACAGAUUACUGUAACUCAGCAAUGUUUUAGCUACAAAAUAAGAAGUGUGCAGCCUGAACACAGUUGCUGUCUUUUUAUUAUUUCUCAUUUUGAUACAUUUCUUAUGCUGUUGGCUAUUUUAUUAGUACCCCCUGUUGCAAAAUAUUUUUCUUUAGCGUUGUAUCUUAAUAACCAUCAAGGUGGCUUACCCAGGGUUUUCUAAUGCUCAGCACGCCCAGGAAUUGUAAUAUGGUAAAUGUCAUGUGGGCAAAGUGAUUGCGUUUAAAAAAAAAUCUGUCAGUGACUGCAUUUUUUUCCUGUUAUUUAGGCAUAUUGAUAAUAUAUAGACAGCCUCCUUUAGGAAAUAUGUCAUGAUUUUUGAUGUAUCUUUUCUUAUCGAUUAUAACUUAGAAUUUUUUAAAAAGUCCUUUAAAAAAUCCAUAUCUAAAUUUGGAAGGCCGAGUUUUGUAAUUUCAAACACAUUACUCCAUUUUUAGAAGUGCCUUGUUUGAUUAAGCUCAUUAGCUUGGGUAUAUGGGCAAAAGCCAUUGCAACUAAAUUAAUUUUGUAUAAAACAAUUGUUGUUUCUUAUCAGCUUCUCUUUCAAUGUGUUCUUCUAAGUGAAUAUUUUACGUGGGAACAAAUACAAACACAGUUUUUAUCAUCUUGUGACGUGUAAAGGAUGAUAGACUAUAUGUUUCCAAUAUAACUUUUAUUUAUACAACCAUUAUUUACACAAUGUGUGGUUAUAUUUAUUAUUUAUUGUUUUCACCACCCCUCAUUCCUCAAAAGCUUAGAAACAGCUUACAAUAAUAUAUACAAUGAUAUGUGAUGCAUAUACUUUGGAAAAUUCAUUAAGAAUCUGCCAAAUUAAUUCAAUACUGAUAAAUGUUGUAAAGAUAAUAAAUGCCUGUUAUUAUUUUGAGCUUUUAGGUCACUGUCCAUCAUAUAUAUAUAUAUAUAUAUAUAUAUAUAUAUAUAUAUAUAUAUAUAUAUAUUGCACUGAAUACGAAAUCAUAGUGGCAGACCUCUUGGCUUACAAAUGGCUAAUUAUAUUCAUUUCCUGAUUAUACUUGGGGGAGUCAUUGCUGAUUAUCUUCUGCAAAUCUUGCUUUGUGAGUUCUAUUGACAUUCAAACAGAAUGGGCUAUAAAGUCAUUUGUGGUUAUUACUCAACACCUUUUGUCUAAUUUCCCUUCCCCAUGUAGCCUAUCACCCAGCAGGAGAUCUUUCAUGUCAAAGUACUUAAUUACCUCGCCCGAAUCAGUGAAGGUUAAAAACAAUACAAAACAACCAAACAAAACAAUACAAAAAACAAAUAUGGCAUAUUUAUAUAGCUUUUUUACCCUGAUUCAUAAUUUGCUUUUACAUGUUUGACUGGAGGCUAAUUUCAGAGCUCAGUGGAAGUCAAAGAAGCUGUCUCGAAGGCAAGGCAAAUCUAAGAUAUUACCACCUGUCUUGUUCUUGGAGCCCUGCCCUGUUGGGAGGUCAGGAGACCAUGAAUUGGGAAAGAAAGAUGCUAUGUCUGCCACAUGUUUUAUGAAACAGUGGUGUGUGUGAAGGUACUCAUGUUUAUGUAUACGUUAAAGAGAGCAAACAUCUUAUUUGUGUAUGUAUGGAUAUGUGCAUUGUAUGUAAGUUUGUAUGCAUACGUGAAAAUAAAUAAAAUACAAAUAAAAUAAUUCAAUUAAAUGCAAUCUGUGUCCUCUGUGGGCAAAUAAUGAAGACUUACACCGUCUUAUAUUUUUACCCACUAUAUAAUGCUGUGUCUUUGUAGAUCUAGAGCAGAUAAAGCCCACUGGAUAGGUAUAAAUCUUUAUUCCCCAAUACCAGAACAUUUUUCCUCAAAUGAAUUCUAUUUUUUUUCCUUGCAGCUGUGAAGCUUUUCUGGAUAAGGGUCAAGGAUAUCCUCAUGACUAAAUGCAAUCCCUGACUCUCAACCCUUCUGACACUCGCUGUCCAGGUGAACCCAUAGCCAAAGCCAAGGACAUAUCAACAAUUUCGACUUGGUCUCUGGUCUCACUGGUCAACAGGCAAGAGCUACAAUAGAAUAUGUACUUGGACUCAGGCUCAGAAAUUACCAAACUGUCAUAACUGACCCAAAGAUGCUUCCUAGAGACAGGUUUCGCUGUGUUCACCAGGAUGGUCUCAAUUUCCUGACCUCAUGAUCUGCCCGCCUCGGCCUCCCAAAGUAUGUUUUUCUGUUUUUUAUUUUAUUGAUGUCUUUUGUUAAUGUUAUUUCAUUUCUUCUGCUUGCAUUGGGUUUAAUUUUGUUUUUCUAUUCUAGUUUCAGAAGCCGAAAGCUAAGAUGACUAAUUUUUUACUUUUCUUAUUUUUCAAAAUAGCAUUUAUUGCUGUACAUUUUCCUAUAAAAAUGAUUUAGCUAUAUCUCACAUGUUUUGGUAGGUUGGAUUGUCAUUUCAUUCAGUGCAGAAUGUAUUUUAAUUUUCCUUGAGGCUUUCUUUUUGACUUAUGAGAUUAUUUUUUGAUAGAUAUUGUUUAAUUUCCAAAUAUUGGAGAUUUUCCAGAUAUCUGUUGAUUCAUACUUUAAUUCCUUUAUCAAAUUAUAACAUACUUUGUAUUAUGUCUAGUCUUUUAAAAAUUUAAGGUUUUGUUUAUGGCCUAGAAUAUAGCCACAUUUGUGAAUGUUUCAUGCAUACUUGAAAAAAAUGAGUAUUGUGUUAUUUAUUGCCAAUAAGGUCAAGUUCAUUGUAACUGUUUGUUAGGUCUUUCAUAACCUUACUGAUUUACUUGUUCUAUCAUUCCCAGGAGACAGGUGUUGAAAUCUAUAAAUAUAAUUGUGGAUUUGCCCACCUCCUUUUUUAGUUAUAUUAGCUUUUGAUUAAUAUAUUAUAAAGCUCUGGUAUUAGGUAAAUGUAACAUUUAACAAGAUAUUAAUUCAAUAUAGGCUGGCACACAUGGGUUUCUCCAAAGAUGGUUAGAUAUAAUAAAUAUUUUUAAAGUUUUACUAUAUAAUUAUUUGAUCAUAUUCUGAAAAGUUGCAGGUCUGUAUCUUGCACCUCACCUUAAAUCAGAGAAAAGUUUAUGGACAAAACAGAAAUUAAAAGUCCUUCAAAGGAAAUCCCUUUUAAUAUUGCCACUUAAGGCAUUUAUUAUC
rnacentral:lncRNA from 1 species